UACGUAGGGUGCGAGCGUUGUCCGGAAUUAUUGGGCGUAAAGGGCUCGUAGGCGGUUUGUCGCGUCGGAAGUGAAAACCAUGGGCUUAACUCAUGGCUUGCUUCCGAUACGGGCAGACUAGAGGUAUGCAGGGGAGAACGGAAUUCCUGGUGUAGCGGUGAAAUGCGCAGAUAUCAGGAGGAACACCGGUGGCGAAGGCGGGUCUCUGGGCCAAAACUGACGCUGAGGAGCGAAAGCGUGGGGAGCGAACAGG
rnacentral:rRNA from 1 species